UGGGGAAUAUUGCACAAUGGGCGAAAGCCUGAUGCAGCAACGCCGCGUGAGGGAUGACGGCCUUCGGGUUGUAAACCUCUUUUAGUAGGGAAGAAGCGUAAGUGACGGUACCUGCAGAAAAAGCACCGGCUAACUACGUGCCAGCAGCCGCGGUAAUACGUAGGGUGCAAGCGUUGUCCGGAAUUAUUGGGCGUAAAGAGCUCGUAGGCGGCUUGUCGCGUCUGCUGUGAAAACCCGGAGCUCAACUCCGGGCCUGCAGUGGGUACGGGCAGGCUAGAGUGCGGUAGGGGAGAUUGGAAUUCCUGGUGUAGCGGUGGAAUGCGCAGAUAUCAGGAGGAACACCGAUGGCGAAGGCAGAUCUCUGGGCCGCUACUGACGCUGAGGAGCGAAAGCAUGGGGA
rnacentral:rRNA from 1 species